rnacentral:rRNA from 1 species
AUUGAACGCUGGCGGCAGGCUUAACACAUGCAAGUCGAGCGGGGGAAGGUAGCUUGCUACCGGACCUAGCGGCGGACGGGUGAGUAAUGCUUAGGAAUCUGCCUAUUAGUGGGGGACAACAUCUCGAAAGGGAUGCUAAUACCGCAUACGUCCUACGGGAGAAAGCAGGGGAUCUUCGGACCUUGCGCUAAUAGAUGAGCCUAAGUCGGAUUAGCUAGUUGGUGGGGUAAAGGUCUACCAAGGCGACGAUCUGUAGCGGGUCUGAGAGGAUGAUGCGCAACACUGGGACUGAGACACGGCCCAGACUCCUACGGGAGGCAGCAGUGGGGAAUAUUGGACAAUGGGGGGAACCCUGAUACAGCCAUGCCGCGUGUGUGAAGAAGGCCUUAUGGUUGUAAAGCACUUUAAGCGAGGAGGAGGCUACUUUAGUUAAUACCUAGAGAUAGUGGACGUUACUCGCAGAAUAAGCACCGGCUAACUCUGUGCCAGCAGCCGCGGUAACAC